CUAGGUUGCUCAUGCUGUAGGUUUUUUUGUUGUUGGUUUCUCUUCUCUCUCUCUCUCUCUUUUUUUUUUUUUUUGACCUGAUGCACCUUUGAUUCCCUCAUAAACCAGAGCAAUGUGCAGCAUUUAAGGCAUAUCUCAAAAGCGCGGAUCGUUGCAGCUCCUGGUGCCUGACUCUUGGCAGCACCGCCCAUGCAGAGGGACGGGGUGCUGAGCGGGGGGACAGACGCUGAAGGCUUCUGCGCGGAGGGGUUUGCCGCCAGGUUCAGACGCCGUCGCCCUGCAGUUUGCUGGUGCCGGAACGCGCCCGUCACGUGGCCUGGGUACUUCCUUACAGCAAGGCGCUGCCUGGAUCGAGAGGUGCAAGGCUGCUUUUACGCUCGGUCGUCAAGUGCUGCAAUUCACUUAGCGUUUUGUAAGUAGCUUUCUGUUGGUGGAGCUGAAAUGAAGCUGACUUGCGUUUGCAGGUAUGUACAACUCAUCUUAAAACUAGCCAGAAAAAUAAUUCGUAUCCUAGAAAAUUGGCUGUCCUUUAUUCUAGGCUUUUCUGCUCACUGGCUAUCUAUUGGUGUAGGUGAGCCUCAUGCCAUUGCGGACACGGAUCGUUUCAUAGGAAAGCCAGACCACUUCAGCUGUACAGUGGUUAUAGUGUCGGUAAAACUCUAGCUGCUUUAACCAAACUGAGAUGUGACCAUUGGUGUUUCCCAAAUGGGAGGGGGGAUUUUUUAGCAGUAAACAUCUUGACUUUUUUGUGGGUACAAAGGGAAUACAACUCUGUGUUUCUUGGAGUGAUAAGCAGGUCAUUUGUGAGGAGACAAUUCUGCUUCCUGUACACUGAGAUCUCAGAACAGAAGCAGCUGUUCUGUGGAGAAUACAUACUUUGUUAUAAUAAUAUUACUGUCUCUGCAACGCUUGGAAACUGCGCAUCCUGCACAGCAGUUUGUCUCUUAAGGAGGUCAGUAAUACAGGUGUCUCCAAUGAAGUUGCAUUUCAGUGCUUGAAAUCUGCCUCUUAUGCACAAAGUAUUUUUGUUUUAAGCUGGCUGUUCGUAUGUGUGGCUAUUUUUCUGUGUGUGUUAUUGAAUAGUGACUUUUUUCUUAAAAAUCUGUAUCUUUAAAAAUACACAUCUCUUUACCUGAUUUUUCUUAAGCUUUUGUUUGGUAAAGUUGUUCUUCUCUUGUAUAUGAAAAGAUAAGCU
rnacentral:lncRNA from 1 species